GUGACAUCGGCGGAUGAGCGAGCGUUUUAUCGCGAGACUAACGAGGCGGUCGGUCCGCGCGCUGACUUUGCCGCGCUCGGUUUCGCGUUGCACCACAUAGACGAUAAAGAGACAGGAAUCGCGCGCGCGAAGAAGGAGAGGGAGUGAGAAAGAGGGAGAGAAAAACAGGUCGCCCUCGCGCAUCCCCUCCCAAAUAAAUCCUCUUUUUACGACGGAGAUUUAUGAAAGCCAUUCCGCCGCCUCCUGUCCCUUAUCCUCGCCCUCCCUCGACCUACACACUCUCGGCCUAUACUCCAUCUUUCCCUCCUUCCCUGCGUGUAAGAGAAGGAAUUGCGAUCUCCUCCUCUCUCUCUCUCUCUCUCUCUCUCGCUCGCUCUCUCCCUCUGCGAUGCCGGGGCGCGAGGAUGAGUUCGGGCGCUGAAACCUAACGGUGGCUGAGUAUCCUGGAUUCCGAGCAGUUUCCGGCAAAAUGAGACAGAUGAAAUAAAAACGAUUCCGAAGAUACAGAUCUGCAGUAUUUGUGGCGGAUUGCGGCAGAAUGUGAACUUACACUUUGAUGACUUUUUCAUGGGGCAUGAGCAGAGAAUUCCGCACGACGAUGUAAAUUCGGAAUUCUCUCUGGUACGAGAUGAGCCUUCUGAACAGGAUAUCAACUGUAUCGAUCUCGACGAUUCGCAACCGAGAUUUCCACGAUUUUCAAGAUUGCAAUGAUUGCGCCAACAUUUCGAUGCCUUUAAAUUUUUCUUUGAGUAUCCGAAUGACAUUCCAAGGAUACGCAAAACGUCAUGACAAUACAGUUUCCAAAAUUAUAUAAAAAUCCGAAACAAUCGCCGCCAUUCAGAGAAAAUUUACAUUACAUUGCCGCUCGCAUGAAAGAUAUUUUUGCCGGAUAAUUCUGCGAGAAGUGGAUAGCAGUAAUGCAGUUUUCGGCGCGAAUAUCGUUUGCCAAACCGAUAUGAGAGCCGGGAUGAGAGCAAAAGGGCGGAAAAGUGUCGUCAAGUAAGAAGGCAGGCUCUAAUUCGCACACCUUCUAACCACUUCCUCUCCAACUAGACAGUCGACGACACUCGUGGCGUUGAAGAGCGCCCGGAGCACCGGAAAGGGUACUUUCCGUUUGGAAUGCGGCCAGGGGUGGUUCCGUUCUCGCGAACCCGAUGCAAAUGCUGCGCACGAGAGGCUGCAGUCAAUGCGAUUCGGAAAAAUAACGGUGGACCGAACGUGGUAAAGCGAAGAUGCGUGACAACAUCUGUCAAGUGGAACGCCGCCGAACGGCAAACGAAUCGUGAUUGCGAAUCGGGAAGGAUUGGCACUUCCCAGCAAAGAAAUUUAAGAAGACCACAUUAUUCGAUUACUUGAGAGAAUUGUUUGAGGCAUACAUAUUUGAAUCGCAUGUGCACCAUCAGCGAGGAGGUUUCGUUUUCAGAUUCACCAGCAAGACAACAAGGUACUUCCUCUCGCAACUAAAGCAUCAAAAUCGAGAACAACAGCGAACCCAAAUUACGAAAGCGGAUGAUAGAGAAGCGCGCGACGGCUUCAUUAACAGCAAUUUAUCACGGAGCCGGGGUAAGCGGGGGUCAACAGCAAGCACCACCAUUAACCGCCUAAGGUCGUUAGGUUGCGGUUUGACAUGAGAACAUGCCCAUAACACCGUUCGGUUAUACGUGUACUCGUCUGUGCCUGCACGGUAAAGCAUGGAGAACCUACGCUUGCGGUGGUAGUGCAAACGCAAGAGGAGGAGGAGGAGGAGGGGGGGAGGAAAAGCGCGACCCGCAGAGAAGGGUUGGCGGAAAGCACGAUGGCAAACGAACGUUAGAGCGAGGGAAUACUUGCCGCUACGUCACGAGCUAACCAUUAGCGGUCGUACCGGGUCUGUGUUUAGACGCUCCGUUAUUGAAUUCGUUACCUACCUACGUUCGCCUGUCCUAGAUAUCGCACCGGUGUUACACGCUCCGUCGCUAACAUUAAAACUGACGAGGGUUGUGCAAGAACGCGUCGCGGAGCUUUAGGUCGAUACGAAAGAGUCUCUUUCGGUAUUAUUUUAAGUUACUAAUAUUAACUGGCAAAGACUGCGAGCAAAAAAUAUAUACCAAUUUUUGUAUAUAUUUUUUCUUAAAACAUUAUAAUUUACUUAUCACAAAACUAUUCCAUGAAACUACUACCCUAUUAAUAAUUCAUCAAAUAGCUUUUAAAUAUAUAAUAUUAAAAAAAUUAUUUUAGAUAUUUGUUAGAAUAAUUUCAGAAAUGCAAUUAAAAAGUAAAAUAAAAAGAUAAAAAUGUAGUAAUGUUAUGCAAAGUAAAAAUAUAUACAUAGGAAAGAGUUCAUCUGUAUUUAAAAAUGCAGAAGUCGAGCGAAAAUUCUCUAUACUUAAAGGCAUUAUCGAUAAAUAGUGGAUUAUGAGCAUGCUUAGGUAUUCUAGAACGGCAUCUGCGAUAUUGCGCCGAAGGUCGAGUAAUACUUGGCAUUCUAAGCCUGUAAGCUAAUGCAAUAUAUUUGAAAUCCUAAAUCAAAAGCACAGUAAUAGAAUGUUUUGAGUAGACUUGUCUUCGCAAUUUAAUCAAUAUCUGAUUACAAAAAAAAGUAAAUUUACAUGUAAUGUAUUAAUUGCUCUAGGAUAAUAGAACUGUGCAUUUUUUUUAUAUAAUAAUUAUUUAUUUCAGGUUUAUUUCGUUAAAAAUCUUUUUUAUAUCAAUACUAUAAUUAUAUUAAUAUAUUAUAAAUUUUUAUAUGUACAAAAACAGCAAUUAUCAUAUCUACAUAUACAUAGUAUACUACUAAAAUUCUCUCUCUCACAUAUACAUCGUUAAUGAAAACUUCAAUCAGAAAAUUAUGAGAAUUAAUAUAUGUUUACAUAAACAAUCUUUCGGCAAAUUGAUUUUUCAACCACCAUUUUAUAAACUUGAGAACUGAGUCGAAAAUGUGUCUGUUAUGUGUUCAAAUCUCUAAUAUCGAGAAUAUCGAGAAGAUGUCGGUAGCACUCAAAUAGAGUAUGGAACUGAUCGCUUCAAAGCAACAACUAAUCCCACUCAAAGAUAAAUCGAGGACUGAGUAAUGACAUAUGAUGUAUUAAAGACAAGUUGUUCGAUUUAUUUCUGUUAUUUAUGUGAAUAGUAGUACUCAAAUAGAGUACGGAACCAACUGAUCGCUUCAAAGCAAUAACUAAUCCCACUCAAAGAUAAAUCGAAGACUGGGUAAUGACAUAUGAUGUAUUAAAGACAAGUUGUUCGAUUUAUUUCUGUUAUUUAUGUGUAUGGUAGUUUCACAUAUAACUUAAUAUUUUAUAAUUCCGAUAAAAUAGCAAAAAUUUGAAAUUUUCAGUAAUUUUCUUUAAAAUAUCAAAACUUAUUCUGCAAUCUAGAAAAUUUAAAUGUAUAAUAAAAAAAUUCGCAAAUAUUUAAAAAUAAAUCAUAAAAACUUUUGUUGUGCGAUAAGAAUAUUUAAAUAAAAUUAGUUUGUAUGUUUAGUAUUACUUGUUAUAAUACAAACAUUUGUUAUAAUUUUAAUGUUAUUUCAAUAGAUGUAAUUAUCAAAUGGAGAUUCAACGUCAAAACAAGCAAGGAAACAUUUAAUUACAUUAAUGGACAAAUAAAAAUUGCUACGACCGCAAACAAUUUCUUUUGUAUAUCCAGCAUGAAAUGGCUAUUUUGAUAUUACUUGUUCAAGCAUAAUUGUUUAAACUUGUUUAAAUACGAAAAUGUAAUUUUCACAGUUCAGGCAAUAAUAAUUUACAACUUUUCAAAGGUGUAUAACAUUGCAAGCAAUUUCUCGUAGCCACGUCGCACAACUGACGCAUAUACAUUUUUUAAUAUCCUUCAGAAAAUUUUAAAAAUAACAAGUACGCGUAAAUCGUUUCUCAUUUUAAGUAAUAACUUUAGAAAUAUAGAUAACGAUAACUUUUCGGAAAUCCGCAGCCUCCAACUUUAGUCUCGUUCUCUUUGCUUCGCUGCAAACGAGCUUCUUUUAAUUAAAAUAAUCCGCCCUGCGUUCGCUUGCGCAAGAUUUAAUCGGUGAUCGAGUGAGCACAGUCUCGCGCACGUGUAAUUUAAGUUGCAUCGUAUCGGCUGGCUAAAGCCGCCUUUGCAUCGGUCUAAUCCAUGCGAAAUCGGUGGGAUUGCGAGCUUACGUGAGUAUGAAAGCGAAUAAAGAAAGAAAAAAAGGGAGAGAGAGAAGCAACAAAUCGACAACGACUUUCGCGAAUAUAUUAUUAUAUCCGUGUCGAUUUUCAGUAUAAUAUGUAAAUGCCAUAAUUCGAAUGUGUGUGUUUAUUGCAAAUAUCCUCUUAAUGUAUCACAAGAUAUUUGUGUGUCGGCAUA